GUCAAGGAUCAUAUCCAUAAGUUUCUUCCAUCAUAAAAGGUGGUUUUCAGGUUAUCAAAAUGUGAAGGCAGAGAGUUAAGAGCUUGGCGAACAAGGAAGGUUUCAGCAAUGGAUACCUUGAGGCUCUUAUCGAUUUCUUUGAGUUUAUUCUUGCGAACGUACCUAUUAGGCUGGAUACUUGAGGUGCAUCUAGCAUGCAGUCUUUUCUUGGAGCAAUUUUUUGGCUGGUUUUGUAAUCUUUUUGCAUGAAUUGCUCUGUCACACUGGCGUUAUUCUUUUUGAUCAAGGUGGGUCUUGUAUAGCUGAUGUAUCAAGCAUUCCCUGGCUGGUUCUGUAGAUCAGGCCAGCUCAAAUGAAAGGAGAUGUAUGAAGAGGACAGGACAUGUGGUUGUGGAGGCCGCAUCAGGUGGGACCCUGGUUAGAACAAGGUUGGUCCAUUGGCUUUGGAGCAAAAGAUUUUUGGCUUGGCAGGACCCACACUGUACAAGCUAACGAAUAUCUGACGCAUCAGCUGCUGAAGGUGUUGCGUAUGGUGUUUUAAAAGUUUUAAAUCAAUCAUGUAAUUGAUUUGUUGACGUUUCUGUUUUCUCUCAAUGGAUUUAUUUAUUUAUUUAUUUUUUGAAGGCUCUGUACUGUACUUGUACCGUUAUUGAAAUUCAGAUUUUCUUUCCUUUAA